AGAAAAUGAGAGGAAGGAAGAGUUGUCUUCCAAGAAGAAGAAAGGGAGAAAAUGAAAGAAUGGAGAAGAAAUGAAGAUCAACCAAGGUGGGAGAAAAUGGUGUAGGAAGCUCUCUUGAAAUAAAGAUAGGGAGGUUCAAGAAUAAGGUUGUUCUUAUGUCAAAAGAGAGAAG